rnacentral:rRNA from 1 species
UACGGAGGGUGCAAGCGUUAUCCGGAUUCACUGGGUUUAAAGGGUGCGUAGGUGGGUUGGUAAGUCAGUGGUGAAAUCUCCGGGCUUAACCUGGAAACUGCCAUUGAUACUAUCAGUCUUGAAUAUUGUGGAGGUCAGCGGAAUAUGUCAUGUAGCGGUGAAAUGCUUAGAUAUGACAUAGAACACCAAUUGCGAAGGCAGCUGGCUACGCAUAUAUUGACACUGAGGCACGAAAGCGUGGGGAUCAAACAGG